rnacentral:rRNA from 1 species
AACGAACGCUGGCGGCAGGCCUAACACAUGCAAGUCGAACGCACCUUCGGGUGAGUGGCAGACGGGUGAGUAACGCGUGGGAACCUGCCCUAUGGUACGGAAUAACUCUGGGAAACCGGAGCUAAUACCGUAUAAGCCCUACGGGGGAAAGAUUUUUCGCCAUAGGAUGGGCCCGCGUCAGAUUAGCUAGUUGGUAGGGUAACGGCCUACCAAGGCUACGAUCUGUAGCUGGUCUGAGAGGAUGAUCAGCCACACUGGGACUGAGACACGGCCCAGACUCCUACGGGAGGCAGCAGUGGGGAAUCUUGGACAAUGGGCGAAAGCCUGAUCCAGCCAUGCCCGCGUGAGUGAAGAAGGCCCUAGGGUUGUAAAGCUCUUUCAGCGGGGAAGAUAAUGACGGUACCCGCAGAAGAAGCCCCGGCUAAACUUCGUGCCAGCAGCCGCGGUAAUACGAAGGGGGCUAGCGUUGUUCGGAAUUACUGGGCGUAAAGCGCGCGUAGGCUGACUGGUCAGUCAGGGGUGAAAGCCCGGGGCUUUAACCUCGGAACUGCCUUUGAUACUGCCAGUCUAGAGUCCGGCAGAGGUGAGUGGAAUUCCUAGUGUAGAGGUGAAAUUCGUAGAUAUUAGGAAAGAACACCAGUGGCGAAGGCGGCUCACUGGGCCGA